rnacentral:lncRNA from 1 species
CUAAUACCAGGAGAUGUUCACCAUCAGGCUUGGGAAAUGGGUAGGUGGUUCCUUGAGUUGGCAAGAUAACAAUGGCACCAUGAACAGUGGCCCUUGUCCAGUCACUAUGGGCAUGCCACCAAAGGGUUCCUUCCUGAUCUUCACCAAAUAUCACCUUGUAUGUGAAGUUUGUUCCUGGCUGAAUCCUGCAUUGAGUUAUGUGGUCUGGACCAUCUGACCAUGGAUUCCUUGUUUGCUUCACUCCAUGCCUGCAUCACAACAUUCUCAUAUGUAAUUUAUCUUCCGCUCACAGAGUGUAUGAGAAGGAGAAGUAUCGAUCCGUACCAAUGGAUAGUGACACCAAAAUCGUCUUGAUUGUGAACGUUGACAUACACCAGGUCGCCUCUGUGAAUACGAAAUCAUGGUUCAAAAUCUCGGUCGAGACCGGUACGACUCGGCCGAGUCGUAUCCGCCUCGACCAUGGCCGGUACCGGACCGAUACCCGAGUUGGAGUAGAAAUUGUGGAGAAGAUCAGAAUCAUCAGAUGAGAGGAUCAAAACCCACGAAAAUGAAAAAUACAGAGUUAGAACCCUGCAUCUUGGAGUCGCCGGCGAGGUUGAAGAAGCACGCCUGCUUGUUCGGAUUGCCCAAGUUCCCGCCGGAGAUGGAACUGAGCGACAUGAGGAGCAGAGUCGCCGGACUUCGGCACCGCUGUUAUCAUCGACGGUCCUGAUGGGUUUGCAGUCGGGACAAACUGUGUUAUGGAACUUCUGCAAGGAUUUGCCUCCAGUGAUCAUGUAGGCUGACAUCCCACUCAUGGUUCAAAAUCUCGGUCGAGACCGGUACGACUCGGCCGAGUCGUAUCCGCCUCGACCAUGGCCGGUACCGGACCGAUACCCGAGUUGGAGUAGAAAUUGUGGAGAAGAUCAGAAUCAUCAGAUGAGAGGAUCAAAACCCACGAAAAUGAAAAAUACAGAGUUAGAACCCUGCAUCUUGGAGUCGCCGGCGAGGUUGAAGAAGCACGCCUGCUUGUUCGGAUUGCCCAAGUUCCCGCCGGAGAUGGAACUGAGCGACAUGAGGAGCAGAGUCGCCGGACUUCGGCACCGCUGUUAUCAUCGACGGUCCUGAUGGGUUUGCAGUCGGGACAAACUGUGUUAUGGAACUUCUGCAAGGAUUUGCCUCCAGUGAUCAUGUAGGCUGACAUCCCACUUCUACAAUCACCUGUUGAGGCACCACAAUCCAGAGGGGCAGAGGCCAAGCUUUUCACCGAAGGCAUGCUGUCCUAACUCACUCUCAAAUCGCUUUCCAAAACCAUUUCACACCGGAGGGUUAUGGGUAUUUGGAGGAUUUAGGUUUUAAAUAAUUUGUAUUUAUUUUUUAAUUAGAUUAUGAGUAUUUGAUGGGAUAUGGAUUUUAAAUAAUUUGAUAAAAAUUAUAAUGAUGAAAAAUAAAUAAUAAAUAUUAGACUUAUAUCAAAUAAAUAUUUAUAUAAAAAUUAAAAUUAAUGAAUACAUUUUAUAAGAAAAAUUAUAUUUAUUUUUUUAAAGAUGAAUUAUGGUUUUAUUUUUUUAAUAAUUGAAAACAUUUUUAAAAAAAUUAAAAAUAUUUAAUUUAAAUAAUUUUUUAUUAAAAAAAUUUACUUUUUAUUAUUUUCAUCUUCAAUAAGAAAUAUUUAUCAUCAAGUAAUUAAAUUAAAAUAUUUUUAAAGAUUUUUAAUAUUAUUAUAAAUCAUCCCAAAAAUAUGCUUUUAUUAUAAUUUGAAUCAUUUUAAUAUAAUAGAAGUUUAUUUUAUUAAUUUUUUUACUCUACUUAUUUGUAUUUUAUUUUUUUAAUAAUUUUCAUAAUUUUUUAAAAUUAUUUUGAGCUCUUAAAUUAAAUUUUUGCGUAUCACCCGAUACCGAUCCGAGAUACCGAUACCGAUGUGCCUCAGGACCUCCCGAGUCAAUGACCGAUACCGCGACUUUGAACCCUGCGAAUCACCGGCCCUGGAAAGCUGUCAUUUACAGUCGUCAUGCUCUUUGUGCUGCACAGCCUCGUGAAAUUGGUCUCUUUCAGCUGCAAAACAUCAGAAUACCCAGAAAGAAAAAACGCUGGUUGACUGAAGAAGGUGCUAAAAUAGUACUCACAACAAAAUCAUAGGAAUGGGUGCGCCCUUCAGCCAUGGAAGCUAACAUUCCAGUCAAAAGCGCAGGCACUAGCACCUCUAAUAAAAACCUCAUCUUCUUCAUCUUCACUCAAAUUCAAGCAUUAAACUCUUUGCUUCUUGAUCCUUUUAUUUCUGAGCUUGUUUUCUCUCUGAAGCUGAACAUGAUAUUUAACUAUUUAUAAUGAACCGUAGUGAUCCUACCAAUGGGUCAUGGACAUGGUAUGUGGGCUGCGCUGACUUACUGUUUUAAAGUGAAUUAUUUGAAGUUCCCAAAUUAACCCUGGUAUGGGAAAGUUUCAUCAAUCAAUUAUAAUUAUUUAUUUAUAUUUUCCAAAGAUUAUAUCCAUUAAUCUUUUGUGCUUACUUCUAGUUGUUACAAAGUUGGAUGGGAGACUCCAUCAACCCAAGCAUGCAAGACCCCAACCAGAUCCACAAUCAAGCGGGUCCCCUACACAAUUGGAAGUUGUCGGUGGUCCUCUCUCUUUGUGAUUUUUCAUUUUAUAAUAUUUUAUUAAAAUUUCAUAAUUUUCUAGCUAUACGACAGCUGGUUAGUGCAAAAAAAGAAAAAAAAAAAAAAAAAAGAGUUAAUCAAAUCUAGCUACCUUUCAAUGGGCGUCUAAGCAAAUUUUGCGAGGUCCACAUUUUUGAAUGGCAAGCAACCGAAAUUUCCGAGUAGAAACAAAUAAAAUAAUCCAAAAAAUAAUUAAAACGCUAACUCGUUUAAAAUCAUUUUUCAAAAUUAUUCUCUAAUUUUUUCUAGAAUAAAAAAAAAUUUGAACUUAAAAUAUUUUUUACCUGUUUUUAAUUUUUUUAAAUAUAUUUAAAAAAAGUUAUAUUUAAUAUUCUAUUUUUAAUUAUUUUACAUGUUUCUAUAAUUAUUUCUUAAAACAAUCUUAAUAAAAUAAGUGAAAACAAUAGAAAAUAAUUAAUAGAUGUUCUCUUAAAAACACCAUGCUUUUAGUUCAUAAGAUCGAAAAACAAAAAACAAUUUUUAAUUAUCAUGUUUUUUAUUUUAAAGAAUAGAAAACUAUUCUAAAAAAUAAUUUUUAAACAAGUCCUAUAUAUAUAUAUAUAUAAAAUAGUCUACAUUGACCUAAAACUCUCAAAUUUAAACACAUUAAUGAAAUAAUAAAUCAAUAUUGCAAUAAAUAAAUUAACUAAUGUUUUUCUAGAAAGGCACAUGUAGAUAUGUUAUCCUAAUCACCUUUCUAAGUAUAGGUGGCAACAGUUGAAUUGUCCAUAUCUUAAUACCCAACGAAAGAAGAAAAUAAAAUAUAUUUUAACUUUGAGUGAAGUUGGCAAAAUUCUUGAGGUCACUUCAAAACAUAAGUAAAAGAUUUUGUUAUCAUAGACAGAUAUGGAAAUGUUAUACACUCAUAAUUCUAUGAAGGCCCAUAAAUGCUAUCGUAAAAAUAUUUAAAAGAUUAUCAAUUACAUUAUAAUUGAUAAUGACUUAUCAAACUAAUUAAUAUAUAUAUAUAUACUUUUAUUCCAUUUUUAUAAUAAUGGCUUCGUGGAGAAAUUGGUUAAGGUAUUGUAGUGCAUUGAAAAUAAUAAUAAUAAUAAUAAUAAUUAAUAAUAAUUAAUAAUAAUGGGUGGAGUUGGUGAAAAGAAAAAGGAGAAUAAGAUAAUAAUAAAGAAAAUUAAAGAAGGGUUAUGGAGAAGAGAUGCCAAUUCCCAUGGUAAUGCAUAUAGUGAAUAAAAAUUAAAAUAAUAAUUUAUUUUUAAGGUAUUUUUAUUUUGGACCGUAAAUAAAAAAGAAUAAUAUGAACUAUUCUUGAUAAGGAAAAAAGUGAUAAAAAGGGGUAUAGUAUGAAUACAAUAUUUUUGAGGAAUCUAGUUUAAUUAAAUAAGCUAAAAGAGAAAUAAAUUAUUACGAUAUAAUUUGGUAGGAAUAUGAGUUUUAUAAAAAUCUAGAAAUUCACUAAUUUAAAUUACUGUUUAGGAAGUUGAAAAUAAUAUUAGUGAUAAUAAUAUUAAUUAGGAUUACUAAUACUAAAUAAAAUAUUGAAGUUGACAAGGUAGCAUUAUAUGUAAGUUGGCAAGGAUUUUACAUUUGUGAAAGAUUGUAACUAUUGAAGUAUAUAUUAUGAUCUCUAAUCAAGGUAGUUAAUGUGGAUGACCAAUUAUUUGAUUAAAAAAAAUUAUGACCACCGUAUGGGAUGUGUACUACAAGCAUAAACUUUUCCAUUUUAAGAGAUCACAGUACAGAGAAGUUGUUAUUUCAGAAAGACAACUCUCAAGAAAUUACAAACCCUUUAGAUUUGAAGCAAAAUACCAAAUCAGUUGACAUUUAUCUUAUCAACUAGCUCAACUGAAUCCCGGAAAUCUUCAAGCCUAAUAGGGGAUUGAGCUGCACAAGAAGGCAUGUAAGCAGGGGGUGGUAGGAUACUGGUGUCCGGGGUUUCACCAUUCUUCACUAUGAAAGUAGUGUCCAUUCCCCAUGUGAGAUGUCUAUCAAUAUGACAAUGCCAUAGCCAUACACCUGUAAAGAAAUACUGAGAAUGGUAAACAAAAAGAUUUCUGCAACCCUGAAAGUGAUCUCUUAAGAAACAUACGUACCAGGAUUAUUUGCUAAAAAUCUGAGGGCAACCCAUCCAUUCUUUGGAACUGUAAUGGUGUUACGUUCAGACGGAUCGACCAAAUUGUACGAUUUUGGAUCAGUCUCAUUGUUGAAAACUCCAGUACCCAUCCCAACCACAUAAAAGGUGUAUCCAUGCAAAUGCAUUGGAUGAUCUGAGGCUUGGCCUUGCAGGUUAGUCCCCUGGAAUACUAUCUCCACUGAUUCAUUAUAAUUGAACACCUUCACUUUUGUUGCCACUACAGACAAUGGAUGAACAUGAAUAUCCCCAGUGAAGUUAUAGUAAGAAGGUGGGUAGUCUGGAAAAUCUGUAGUGUAAACCCCGCUGGUGUGCCUGCAAUAAAGUUUUCAUAAUGUCAUUUUCCAAGCAUGCACAUACUAAUAUCAGACUAUUGUGAAGAAGAUUUUUUUAGCUUGAUGUUUCCUUGUAGACAUCGAUGUCCUUGUUGAAUAAGAAAAUGUGUUGGGAAUAUGUUUAUAGAAAUUUUAUGUCAUGAAGGGAGAAACUUCCGAGAGAACAUCUGCAUCUAGCGAUAAUUAUACCAAUCAUUUGGAGAGGUAAGAGACAGAUCAGAGACCCAUUUUGGGGCAAAGAAAUAGAAGAUGUUACAGAGCUUAAGUUCAUCACCAAGAUACUAGGAACGAUAGGAACAUUUCUCCCUAAUUUCUCUAAUUAGUAAUUUCAGGCGCCAUAUAUGGAAUGGAGAAAUUUUUCUCUAAUUUCCCAUGCCCUUAGGAUUUCCUCAGUGCUCCUUGGGUCACUUAAAAAGAACCUAGCUAAAUAAUGAAGACCACCACAAUGGCCAUCAACAUGUACUUUAGGCUAUGUUUGGUUCCUGAAAAUUUUGAGGGAAAAUGCAAAUGGAACCAAAUAUUAACAGCCGUGAGAGGGAGAAGGACAGAAAGAAAUUAAGAGAAAAAGAAAGAAUGAAAGAAGAGAAGAUGAUGGCCUUUUGAGGAAAAAAAAAAUUUGGGAACACGCCUACAAGCUGCUUUUUGGGGCACACUAUUUAAGGAAGGAUCACUCAACUCUAGUAUUCAAACACAACAUGAUUAAUUAGUUUGUAGAGAAAAGAAUCAAAGAAACAAAAUAAAGAUAGAGAAAAUAUAUAAUAAACAAAGGGAUACCAGUACCUGUAAUAGGCAAGCAGAAUACUUGAAGUUGGGUCCAUAAAAGUGAUGUUGUUCAAGCUGGCACCAAGAUGGCUGACCUCUGUCCCCUCAAGUGUAUAAUUAACCAAAUUUAUGGAAGCUGUAAUGAACAUCCUGGUAGUUAUAUUGAGUGGGACAUUGACUGGGUGCUCUGGGGUUGCUAAGCUCCUCAAGAGGGGAAGAAAGCCCAAUCCAGACUCCCAGUCAUGGAAUAAGGGAAGGUUAGUGGGAAAGGAAGGUUCGUCCGGGGGAUUAUAGUUCCCUCUAUACUGAAGAAUAGCGGUAGCCGUCAUAUUAUUGAAGGUAGCAUUGGCGGUAAAGGUUGUGAAUCGUCUUGCACCCAUGUAGUAAUGACUUAAACUCUGGUUUGUUGUGAUCAAAACAUCCAUAGUUUGGCCUGGGGCUAUCAUGAUAUAACUGGUCACUUUUGGCUUAGUGUAGGUUCCGUCCGUGCCAACGAUAGUGAGGUUAUGCUCAGAUAUGGCAAAGAAGAGUUCUACAUUAACCACUGCAUUCACUAUGCGAAGAAGAUAGGUCCCGCCAUAGUCCACCAGCAAACGGUGUGUUGUCUCUGCAUGCAACACAUGAAUUAUGGUUAUCUAUGUAAGUCUUAAGAGUUUUUUUGGUAGUGAUUCUAGGAAAUGUUUCCGAGCCUUUCUAACUCUUAAAAAUAACCUUUUUUAACAAGAAUUUUCUAACAUAUAAAAAGUUGGCUGCUAAAAUCACAACCAAAAAAACUCUAAAUAUAUGAUUUAGUAUUUCCUCUGGCCUCUAGCCUUUGGCUGGGUGCAUAGAUGUUUACAUACCACCACCGCAUGGGACAAGAUCUCCUGGUUCGCCGUUGAUGGUGAAAGCAUUAUCAUCCAGUAGUGUUUCAAAAGUUUGAUUUGAAAAGAACUCCUCAUAUUCCUUGUUCAAGUCUCCUGAAAACCAAGAUCCUGCAAGUACAAUAAAAAUAAAAUGCAAUAAACCCCUAGUUUUUUUUUCAACUUGUUUUAAUAUCUUUUGUUAGUGUUUCAUUUUGGUGUUGAUUUCAAUCACAUCCGAGUAGGAUUUAGCAACUUCAUUGGUUAAUAUAUUUCUAUAAGUAUAUUUCAAAAUUUUAUAUGGGGAAACAGACCCUGUAAACGAGAUUUUAUUAUUGAAACGUGAUAAGUAAUUUAUCAAAUAUUUAUAUAUGGAAGUUUGACUAUAUGUACCUAAUACCAGGAGUUGUUCACCAUCAGGCUUGGGAAAUGGGUAGGUGGUUCCUUCAGUUGGCAAGAUAACAAUGGCACCAUGAACACUGGCCCUUGUCCAGUCACUAUGGGCAUGCCACCAAAGAGUUCCUUCCUGAUCUUCACCAAAUAUCACCUUGUAGGUGAAGUUUGUUCCUGGCUGAAUCUUGCACUGAGUUAUGUGGUCUGGACCAUCUGACCAUGGAUUCCUUGUUUGCUUCACUCCAUGCCUGCAUCACAACAUUCUCAUGAUUAAUCUUCCACUCACAGAGUGUAUAAGAAGG